AAGCCCAGAAGGCCACCGGAGCACACUGAUAUGAGACACUGAAGAAGCCCACCCAUGGGGUAUAAAAGAAGGACUCUCACAGCAGCAGUUAGACGACUGUCUGACCUCCACAGACAAGAUGCUCUCCUCCCCCCUGGAAACUGCCAAACUGCCAAACUGCCAUUCCUGCUCUGCCUUUGAGCCCAGACUGUUAAGAGGCCUCUCUUCGAGUCAAGAAACCGAGCUCCUUGCCGCAGCGUAUUUUGACGACCUCCGUGUGUCUCUGUCAGCAAGUGUCUCCAGGUGGCCUGCCAAGGACUGAAACCCAUCAGCUCUCUGGAAGAAGGAGAGGUUUGUUUCCUGGCACCAGCCCACUCAUAGGUUGACCACACACAUGUAGGGCUUCCCUGGCUUUCACCUGUGCUACUGAGGAUGUGCAAAGCAGCAGGGAGUUCCUUCGACGAAAAUCAAACUAACAACCUAAGGAAGUCAAGAAUCCUUGAUGCUAUCAACUAAGUUAUCUAAGAAUCCACACUUGAAUCGUGGGGAAUGACUUUUUCUGCAAGUGACAGAGGUAGAGACACUGGAGUACCCUAGGCCCAACACGCCUUGGAUGAUGGAAGCCUCCCUUGAAGGAAGUUCUGCACACGCCAGGGCUUGGGGGUAGCCCAGUGUCCUACCCAGGUCUCAACCUGCAUGCAGCCACCCUGAAAAUCGCCUCUCACUCCAGGAAAGAUCUUCAACAACAAACUAAACUCCCCUGAGGCAAAGCUCUUGGGAGGUAGAACGGAACAGCUUCCAGAAGGCAGGGGUCGCCUCAGCUUCUGUCCGGCGCCCACUAAGCGCCCUACGUUUAUUUCUUCAAGGAGCGGACCAGUGAAAUCCGAGUUAGACGCCUGGAGUUGGGAAUGGUGGUGCCAUAAAGAAGAACAAAGCUGUCUUUCCCCGAUGCCACCUCGCUGCGACUUAAGUUUCUUUGCGACGUCUUGAGCUUCAUACCUUUCGGUUCUGAAGCUGGGAGAAGAGUCUUGGAGUCUCAGAAGGUGUGGGCCAUGCGUUAAAGAACCAAGAAAGUCUUGUCCCCUAGUUCUCCUUUGCACCGAUCAAUACUGGCUCCCUCCUCCUGGCCCAGAGCGCACUCCGCAGUCUUCCUCUCCCAGUUCCCCGCGACUUUCAGGUUUGAUCGGUCCCUGCUGCCCAGAAGCUUUCGGGACCUUUCGUUGGAACAUAAAUCUCAGGGUCUCCCAGAGAGGAGCCCUAUCCCCUCAGUAGCUGUGGGCACGAAAGAGAUGAUAUCAAAGUCAGGUGAUUUGUAAAAAUUACAUAGCAAUUUGUCCAACUGACAAUUGUUUUGGUAUGCAACUUAUAAUACAUUCAAAUAGGAAUACCCUAACUUGGGCAUGAAAUAGAGCAUGUUAGAAAAAAAUAUUUUAUUUCUUUUUAAAGUAUAAAACAUGCAUAGCUCAGAACAAGUCAUAGAUUAAAAAGUCCUUAUCCCCCAACCACAUCCCCUUGCCUAAUUAACUUUUUCAUUAUUUUAUUAUGCAUCUUUCCUGUGACUUUUGUGUAUAUAUUAACAAAUGUCAAAUAAAUGUUAUUUACCUGUGACUUUUUUUAUGCUAUUCUGCACCUUGUGUCUUCCAUUCAGGAUACCCUGGAAAACUUUCCCUGUCUGUAAAUAGACAGCAGAAGAAAAACAUUUAAAAUAAGGAGACUACUAGCUUGACAAAUCCAUUG